rnacentral:rRNA from 1 species
UACGGAGGAUGCGAGCGUUAUCCGGAUUUAUUGGGUUUAAAGGGUGCGUAGGUGGAUUAAUAAGUCAGUGGUGAAAUCCCGAUGCUCAACAUCGGAACUGCCAUUGAAACUGUUGAUCUUGAGUAUGAACGAGGUAGGCGGAAUUCGUAGUGUAGCGGUGAAAUGCAUAGAUAUUACGAAGAACUCCGAUAGCGUAGGCAGCUUACCAGGCCAUAACUGACACUGAGGCA